GCGCCGGUUGUGUAAGGCCUAGCAUCGCUGCCCGGAAAGCAGAAGGUGCGGGUUGGAGUCCCGCCUGGAGCA
rnacentral:tRNA from 1 species